rnacentral:rRNA from 1 species
GAUGAACGCUGGCGGCGUGCCUAAUACAUGCAAGUCGAGCGAACGGACGAGAAGCUUGCUUCUCUGAUGUUAGCGGCGGACGGGUGAGUAACACGUGGAUACCCUACCUAUAAGACUGGGAUAACUUCGGGAAACCGGAUCUAAUACCGGAUAAUCUUUUGAACCGCAUGGUUCAAAAGUGAAAGACGGUCUUGCUUUCACUUCUAGAUGGAUCCGCGCUGCAUUAGCUAGUUGGUAAGGUAACGGCUUACCAAGGCAACGAUGCAUAGCCGACCUGAGAGGGUGAUCAGCCACACUGGAACUGAGACACGGUCCAGACUCCUACGGGAGGCAGCAGUAGGGAAUCUUCCGCAAUGGGCGAAAGCCUGACGGAGCAACGCCGCGUGAGUGAUGAAGGUCUUCGGAUCGUAAAACUCUGUUAUUAGGGAAGAACAGAUGUGUAAGUAACUGUGCACAUCUUGACGGUACCUAAUCAGAAAGCCACGGCUAACUACGUG